rnacentral:rRNA from 1 species
UUGAACGCUGGCGGCAUGCUUUACACAUGCAAGUCGAACGGUAGACCCUUUCGGGGGUUGAGAGUGGCGAACGGGUGAGUAAUGUAUCGGAACGUACCCUGUCGUGGGGGAUAACACAGCGAAAGCUGUGCUAAUACCGCAUACGACCUGAGGGUGAAAGCGGGGGAUCGCAAGACCUCGCGCGAUAGGAGCGGCCGAUAUCGGAUUAGCUUGUUGGUGAGGUAAAGGCUCACCAAGGCGACGAUCCGUAGCUGGUCUGAGAGGACGACCAGCCACACUGGAACUGAGACACGGUCCAGACUCCUACGGGAGGCAGCAGUGGGGAAUUUUGGACAAUGGGGGCAACCCUGAUCCAGCCAUUCCGCGUGAGUGAAGAAGGCCUUCGGGUUGUAAAGCUCUUUCAGCAGGAACGAAACGGUGGCCAUUAAUACUGGCUACUAAUGACGGUACCUGAAGAAGAAGCACCGGCUAACUACGU